AUUAGAUGAGCCUAUAUUAGAUUAGCUAGUUGGUGGAGUAAUAGCCUACCAAGGCAAUGAUCUAUAGCUGAUCUGAGAGGAUGAUCAGCCACACUGGAACUGAGAUACGGUCCAGACUCCUACGGGAGGCAGCAGUGGGGAAUAUUGGACAAUGGGCGAAAGCCUGAUCCAGCCAUGCCGCAUGAGUGAAGAAGGCCUUUGGGUUGUAAAGCUCUUUUAGUGAGGAAGAUAAUGACGGUACUCACAGAAGAAGUCCUGGCUAACUCCGUGCCAGCAGCCGCGGUAAUACGGAGAGGGCUAGCGUUAUUCGGAAUUAUUGGGCGUAAAGGGCGCGUAGGCUGAUUAAUAAGUUAAAAGUGAAAUCCCGAGGCUUAACCUUGGGAUUGCUUUUAAAACUAUUAAUCUAGAGAUUGAAAGAGGAUAGAGGAAUUCCUGAUGUAGAGGUAAAAUUCGUAAAUAUUAGGAGGGACACCAGUGGCGAAGGCGUCUAUCUGGUUCAAAUCUGACGCUGAAGCGCGAAGGCGUGGGGAGCAAACAGGAUUAGAUACCCUGGUAGUCCACGCUGUAAACGAUGAAUGUUAAAUAUGGGAAG
rnacentral:rRNA from 1 species